rnacentral:rRNA from 1 species
GAUGAACGCUGGCGGCGUGCCUAAUACAUGCAAGUCGAGCGAACAGACGAGGAGCUUGCUCCUCUGACGUUAGCGGCGGACGGGUGAGUAACACGUGGAUAACCUACCUAUAAGACUGGGAUAACUUCGGGAAACCGGAGCUAAUACCGGAUAAUAUAUUGAACCGCAUGGUUCAAUAGUGAAAGACGGUUUUGCUGUCACUUAUAGAUGGAUCCGCGCCGCAUUAGCUAGUUGGUAAGGUAACGGCUUACCAAGGCGACGAUGCGUAGCCGACCUGAGAGGGGGUUCGGCCACACUGGAACUGAGACACGGUCCAGACUCCUACGGGAGGCAGCAGUAGGGAAUCUUCCGCAAUGGGCGAAAGCCUGACGGAGCAACGCCGCGUGAGUGAUGAAGGUCUUCGGAUCGUAAAACUCUGUUAUUAGGGAAGAACAAAUGUGUAAGUAACUAUGCACGUCUUGACGGUACCUAAUCAGAAAGCCACGGCUAACUACGUG